rnacentral:rRNA from 1 species
CAGCAGCCACGGGAAUACGGAGGGAGCUAGCGUUGUUCGGAAUUACUGGGCGUAAAGCGCGCGUAGGCGGUUACUCAAGUCAGAGGUGAAAGCCCGGGGCUCAACCCCGGAACUGCCUUUGAAACUAGGUGACUAGAAUCUUGGAGAGGUCAGUGGAAUUCCGAGUGUAGAGGUGAAAUUCGUAGAUAUUCGGAAGAACACCAGUGGCGAAGGCGACUGACUGGACAAGUAUUGACGCUGAGGUGCGAAAGCGUGGGGAGCAAACAGGAUUAGAGACCCGCGUAGUCCCUGUCUCUUAUAC